AGAGUUUGAUCCUGGCUCAGGAUGAACGCUGGCGGCGUGCCUAAUACAUGCAAGUCGAACGGUCUAGCGCAAGCUAGAUAGUGGCGAACGGGUGAGUAACGCGUUGGUGACCUGCCCCGAAGUGUGGGAUAACAGUUCGAAAGGAUUGCUAAUACCGCAUGUGGUCACUGGGAUUAGAUGCCUGGUGACUAAAGGAGUAAUUCGCUUCGGGAGGGACCUGCGUCCCAUCAGCUAGUUGGUAGGGUAACGGCCUACCAAGGCUUCGACGGGUAGGGGACCUGAGAGGGUGGCCCCCCACAAUGGAACUGAAACACGGUCCAUACACCUACGGGUGGCAGCAGUAGGGAAUAUUGGUAAUCUGCGAAAGCGGGAACCAGCAACGCCGCGUGUGCGAUGAAGGCCUUCGGGUCGUAAAGCACUUUUUAAGGGGAUGAGGAAGGACAGUACCCUUAGAAUAAGUCUCGGCUAACUACGUGCCAGCAGCCGCGGUAAAACGUAGGAGACGAGCGUUAUCCGGAUUUACUGGGCGUAAAGCGCGUGCAGGCGGUUCGGCAAGUUGGAUGUGAAAGCUCCUGGCUCAACUGGGAGAGGUCGUUCAAUACUACCGAACUAGAGGAUGGUAGAGGGAGGUGGAAUUCCGGGUGUAGUGGUGAAAUGCGUAGAUAUCCGGAGGAACACCAGUGGCGAAAGCGGCCUCCUGGACCAUUUCUGACGCUCAGAUGCGAAAGCUAGGGUAGUAAACGGGAUUAGAGACCCCGGUAAUCCUAGCCGUAAACGAUGUAGACUUGGCGUCGGUGGGGUUAAAUCCAUCGGUGCCGCAGCUAACGCGAUAAG
rnacentral:rRNA from 1 species